UACAGAGGGUGCGAGCGUUGUUCGGAAUUAUUGGGCGUAAAGAGCUCGUAGGCGGUCUGUCGCGUCGGUCGUGAAAACUUGGGGCUUAACCCUGAGCUUGCGGUCGAUACGGGCAUGACUGGAGUUCGGCAGGGGAGACUGGAAUUCCUGGUGUAGCGGUGAAAUGCGCAGAUAUCAGGAGGAACACCGGUGGCGAAGGCGGGUCUCUGGGCCGAUACUGACGCUGAGGAGCGAAAGCGUGGGGAGCGAACAGG
rnacentral:rRNA from 1 species